rnacentral:tRNA from 2 species
GGCGAGGUAGCUCAGUGGCAGAGCAAGCGGCUCAUAAUCGCUCGGUCGUGGGUUCAAAUCCCACUCUCGCCACAA